rnacentral:rRNA from 1 species
GACGAACGCUGGCGGCGUGCUUAACACAUGCAAGUCGAACGGAAAGGCCCCUUUGGGGGUACUCGAGUGGCGAACGGGUGAGUAACACGUGAGUAACCUGCCCUUGACUUCGGGAUAACUUCAGGAAACUGGGGCUAAUACCGGAUAGGAAUCCUUGCUGCAUGGUGGGGGUUGGAAAGCUUCGGCGGUUUUGGAUGGACUCGCGGCUUAUCAGCUUGUUGGUGGGGUAGUGGCUUACCAAGGCUUUGACGGGUAGCCGGCCUGAGAGCGCGACCGGCCACAUUGGGACUGAGAUACGGCCCAGACUCCUACGGGAGGCAGCAGUGGGGAAUAUUGCACAAUGGGCGGAAGCCUGAUGCAGCAACGCCGCGUGCGGGAUGACGGCCUUCGGGUUGUAAACCGCUUUCAGCAGGGGCGAAGCUUGUGGUGACGGUACCUGCAGAAGAAGCACCGGCUAACUACGUG